rnacentral:rRNA from 1 species
AUUGAACGCUGGCGGCAUGCCUUACACAUGCAAGUCGAACGGUAACAGGUCUUCGGAUGCUGACGAGUGGCGGACGGGUGAGUAAUACAUCGGAACGUGCCCGAUCGUGGGGGAUAACGGAGCGCAAGCUUUGCUAAUACCGCAUACGAUCUACGGAUGAAAGCAGGGUGCCUCAAGGCCUUGCGCGGACGGAGCGGCCGAUGGCAGAUUAGGUAGUUGGUGAGAUAAAAGCUUACCAAGCCGACGAUUUGUAGCUGGCCUGAGAGGACGACCCGCCACACUGGGACUGAGACACGGCCCAGACUCCUACGGGAGGCAGCAGUGGGGAAUCUUGGACAAUGGGCGAAAGCCUGAUCCAGCCAUGCCGCGUGCAGGAUGAAGGUCUUCGGGUUGUAAACUUCUUUUGUACGGAACGAAAAGACUCUUACGAAUAAAGAGGGUCCAUGACGGUACCGUAAGAAUAAGCACCGGCUAACUACGUG